rnacentral:rRNA from 1 species
GACGAACGCUGGCGGCGUGCUUAACACAUGCAAGUCGAACGGAAAGGCCCUGCUUUUGUGGGGUGCUCGAGUGGCGAACGGGUGAGUAACACGUGAGUAACCUGCCCUUGACUUUGGGAUAACUUCAGGAAACUGGGGCUAAUACCGGAUAGGAGCUCCUGCUGCAUGGUGGGGGUUGGAAAGUUUCGGCGGUUGGGGAUGGACUCGCGGCUUAUCAGCUUGUUGGUGGGGUAGUGGCUUACCAAGGCUUUGACGGGUAGCCGGCCUGAGAGGGUGACCGGCCACAUUGGGACUGAGAUACGGGCCAGACUCCUACGGGAGGCAGCAGUGGGGAAUAUUGCACCAUGGGCGGAAGCCUGAUGCAGCAACGCCGCGUGCGGGAUGACGGCCUUCGGGUUGUAAACCGCUUUCGCCUGUGACGAAGCGUGAGUGACGGUAAUGGGUAAAGAAGCACCGGCUAACUACGUG